rnacentral:rRNA from 1 species
UGGGGAAUCUUGCACAAUGGGGGAAACCCUGAUGCAGCGACGCCGCGUGGAUGAUGAAGGCCCUAGGGUUGUAAAGUCCUUUCGGCGGGGAAGAUAAUGACGGUACCCGCAGAAGAAGCCCCGGCUAACUUCGUGCCAGCAGCCGCGGUAAUACGAAGGGGGCUAGCGUUGCUCGGAAUCACUGGGCGUAAAGCGCACGUAGGCGGACUCUUAAGUCGGUGGUGAAAUCCUGGAGCUCAACUCCAGAACUGCCUUCGAUACUGAGAGUCUCGAGUCCGGGAGAGGUGAGUGGAACUGCGAGUGUAGAGGUGAAAUUCGUAGAUAUUCGCAAGAACACCAGUGGCGAAGGCGGCUCACUGGCCCGGUACUGACGCUGAGGUGCGAAAGCGUGGGGAGCAAAC